rnacentral:rRNA from 1 species
AACGAACGCUGGCGGCGUGUUUAAGACAUGCAAGUCGCACGGUGUCAUUUUGGUAGCAAUACUUGGAUGGCACAGUGGCGCACGGGUGAGUAACACGUGAAUGACAUGCCCUUCAGAGGGGGAUAGCCCAGGGAAACUUGGAUUAAUACCCCAUGGUCUCGCAAGAGUAAAGGUGGCCGCAAGGCUGUCGCUGGAGGAUUGGUUCGCGUUCUAUCAGCUUGUUGGCGGGGUAACGGCCCACCAAGGCUACGACGGAUACCUGGUCUGAGAGGACGAUCAGGCACACUGGAGCCGAGACACGGUCCAGACACCUACGGGUGGCAGCAGUCGAGAAUAAUUCACAAUGGGGGCGACCCUGAUGGUGCAACGCCGCGUGGAGGAUGAAGGUCUUCGGAUUGUAAACUCCUGUCAUCCGGGAGCAAGACCUGACGGUGAAUAGCCGGCAGGGUUGAUAGUACCGGAAGAGGAAGGGACGGCUAACUUCGUGCCAGCCGCCGCAGUAAUAC